rnacentral:rRNA from 1 species
CGGAGGACGUAUCGGAUUACUGGGCGUAAGCGUGCGCAGGCGGUUUUGUAAGUCUGUCGUGAAAGCCCCGGGCUUAACCUGGGAAUUGCGAUGGAGACUGCAAGGCUUGAAUCUGGCAGAGGGGGGUAGAAUUCCACGUGUAGCAGUGAAAUGCGUAGAGAUGUGGAGGAACACCGAUGGCGAAGGCAGCCCCCUGGGUCAAGAUUGACGCUCAUGCACGAAAGCGUGGGGAGCAAACAGGAUUAGAUACCCUGGUAGUCCACGCCCUAAACGAUGUCUACUAGUUGUCGGGUCUUAAUUGACUUGGUAACGCAGCUAACGCGUGAAGUAGACCGCCUGGGGAGUACGGUCGCAAGAUUAAAACUCAAAGGAAUUGACGGGGACCCGCACAAGCGGUGGAUGAUGUGGAUUAAUUCGAUGCAACGCGAAAAACCUUACCUACCCUUGACAUGUCAGGAACCUCCGAGAGAUUGGAGGGUGCCCGAAAGGGAGCCUGAACACAGGUGCUGCAUGGCUGUCGUCAGCCCGUGUCGUGAGAUGUUGGGUUAAGUCCCGCAACGAGCGCAACCCUUGUCAUUAGUUGCUACGCAAGAGCACUCUAAUGAGACUGCCGGUGACAAACCGGAGGAAGGUGGGGAUGACGUCAAGUCCUCAUGGCCCUUAUGGGUAGGGCUUCACACGUCAUACAAUGGUACAUACAGAGGGCCGCCAACCCGCGAGGGGGAGCUAAUCCCAGAAAGUGUAUCGUAGUCCGGAUCGCAGUCUGCAACUCGACUGCGUGAAGUUGGAAUCGCUAGUAAUCGCGGAUCAGCAUGCCGCGGUGAAUACGUUCCCGGGUCUUGUACACACCGCCCGUCACACCAUGGGAGCGGGUUUUACCAGAAGUAGGUAGCUUAACCGCAAGGAGGGCGCUUACCACGGUAGGAUUCGUGACUGGGGUG